rnacentral:lncRNA from 1 species
AAAAGAGGCAAUUUAUAUACUUUUGGACAAACUAGAAUGCUCUUGCUUCUGUUUGCAAGAUAUGAUGAUGUGUAUAUAUUUUGUCUUUAAUUUGUCCAAAAUCAGGCCAGCCUUGUUGUGGAAGUGAAGGUAUGUUGAAUGAUUUUAGAAACUUGAAAGGAAUAUGUUGAUGUUAUUUUCUUCCAAUCAUUUGACAAGCAAAUCAUAUGCGUGCAAACAAUUAGCUAAGUAGUUGCAACUUUGAGGAUACGUCUUGAUUGAAUGGCUCAAAUUUGAUGGCAUUCUAACUCACCGUGCCAUCUUCAGUGGACUAAUUUUGUUUGGCAUAUGCAAGUAUACAUGCAAGUUAUGCAGCAACCUGCUCAAAUGGUUAUAAAUUUGUCAUAUUCUAUAUGACAGAAGAGCCUAUGCCAAAAAGAGAGAUGCAAUGAAACGACCCGCCCCGCAACUCCCCAGGGCGAGUCUAUCUAAACUCGUAAAAUCGAAACUAUUCUAUAAAAAAUUUCGGCAGAGUCUCCCUUAAAAAUAAAACAUAUCCAAUCCUGCAAUUUACAAAUCAACACUCCCAAAAUAAUUCAAUAUCCAACCAUCCUCCAUAAUCAACUUCUCAAAUCAACAUAUCCAUAUCAUCCUAAGAUUAAAUUACAUCGAUUACAUAAAAUAAUAAAAUAAUACAACUCGCAAAAAUCCCAAAUAUAAUACUAAUUAAAAUCCACGACUCCUAGCACCAUCACGUGGCCACAAUAUCACACUAACGUUCGCUACUGAGUUGACUGAUGUACCUGUAACUCUCCUGUGGGGGGGAAAAUAUAAAAUAAUAAAAGAGGGGUGAGUAUAAAACUCAGUGAGCUCAGUGAGUGGAUAGUAGUUACUGACAAUUUAAUAAAUUUAUUUAAAAUGAUUUAAUCUUUCUCAAAUCAAUUUCUCAAAUCGUUUCUCAAAUCAAUUUCAAUUUCUCAAAAUAUCAUAAGAACUUGCUCAAACUCAUUUAAUGCAAAUCAAUUCAUUGAAACACUAUAAUACAUAUAUUCGCAUAAAAUCGAUGGAAUCAUAUAAUACUCAUCAUAUCAAAUACUGAAGACUAAAAAUUGUCAUCAAACAAGUACCCAAGGGAUAAUCUGAUCAUAUCCGGACCUCGACGGACGGGCAAUGACGCACUAUCUGGGUAGCGUCACGCCCCGGAGCUACAACGGAUAGAUGGGGACGAUCUCAUCUCAUAUCUCAUAUAUCUGUACUGUGCAUGCAUAAGCCCCCAAAAGGCAAAAGCGCCCGAACACACGGCCCAAAGCCUCUAUGUGUGUCCCGACGGGCCCCAAAGGCCUCUAUCUCAUCUUAUCUGUAUCUCUUGUCUGUAUCUCUUUUCUCAUCUCAUAUUAUCUGUUUCUCUGUAUCUGGAGGGAAGGGUACUGUCUAAUGAUUUCAAAAAUAACAUAUACAUAAACAUAGAAUCUCAUCUGAAAUCUCAUUUUCUUUCUAUUCAACAUAUCUCAAAAUCUGCUCAAUUCUAAUAUCAUGCCUUUACUCAAAAACGCUAAUAAAAUCAUUAAUCAAACUCAUUCUCAAUAACAAUAAAGACCAACACAUAGAUAAAAAUUAAUUUGCCGGAAAAUCAUUUAAUCGAAGCAUUAAAUACUUAUCAUAAAAUCAGCAUAUACUAUGAAAAUAGGUUUUGUAUAUUCCACUCACAGUGAUGAUGUCUAGACUCGGUAUCAACAACGUUCGCGGGUUGAUUCUCGUUCGCGGAUGCGGAUCCUCCUAAUCACGGAAACACUAUAAUUAUUCUCCGUAAAUAGAAAUACAACCAAUUUAAUAUAAUAAAUCUCGAAUCAAAUCUCUAUUAACGAUAAACUAUUCCCGCAUGAGUAAAAUUACCAAAAUGCCCCUACAUGCCAAAAUUACCAAAAUACCCCCAACAUCAAUAUUUUACCAACUUAUCCUCAAACUUCAUUAUUUUACCAAAAUAUCCUCGUAUUCGUCAAUUACCAUAUUGUCCUCAAUUUAUAUUACAUAAAUUAAUCACAUUGUCUGAAAUUCCGAAAUUACCCUCGGGGCAUAAAAUUACCGAAAUGUCCUUAACGUCUUAAAUUACCGAAUUGCCCUCGAAAUCACAAAUUACUUCAUUGCCCUCACUCAAAAUUACCAAAAUGUCCACUAAUUACAUAAAAUUACAAAUUCACCCCAAAGUUUCAGGAAUUUGCCGAAUUGCCCCUGCCGGUCAACGGUGACCGGACUUCAGUCAACGACGACGGGGAGCUUAGGUCAGCUAGUUCCGACCUCGGUGAGUGCAAUGGUGCCGGCGGUGUCCUCCCACGCGCGGCGGCAACGGCGGAUCGAAGCUCCAAAAAAAAUCCGAAACUUUCCGGUGGUCGUUCGACGAUUUUCCAGCGUCCCUGGUGGUCGUGGUUGGUCAGAAAUUGUUGCUGGAGAUGUGAGGAACCAGUUCCAAGUGGUGGCGCGUCACAAACCCAGCGGAAUCAACGGCGACGGAAAAGGAUCUUGGCCGCGACUUUCGAGCUCAAAUCGUCGGCGUUCUGGUCGGUUUUCGGCGACGAGGACCACGGGGAUACGACGGUCGGCUUCCAUGCUUCAGAUCGGUACCAAGCACGACCGGUAAGGUGGCCGGAAUUAGGAGAUCCGUUUGGGUCAAUAUCGCGGGUCCGGGUCGGGUUUUCGGGUCAACGGGUCAAAAUUCCUCUCUCUCUCUCUCUCUCUCUUUCACGGGUUCUCUCACUUUGUUUUUGAAUUCAAAAACAGUUCCCCUUCACCAAUUAUACAAUCCGACCCCUUUUUUUUUUUUUUUUUUUUUUUAAGCUUAAUACAAAUUAAGCUCAAUUCGGACCCGUGAUGAAAAUAAAAUCCGACCAUCGGCGCGUGUAAUCGCGCUUAAUUUAUUUCAAUAAAUUAUCGUGACGAAUUUAAAAAAUCAUAAGUGAAGAGGAAAAAUUAAAUCGCACUCUUAAUUAAGAAAUCCGAAGUGCAUAUGUUACAUGCAAUUAAUGAUUGUUUUUGAAAAUUUACAACUUUGGGUGAUUGCUGAUUGAGGGGAUGUAUAUUUUUAUCAUGCGAAAAACAAUAAGAACAGAAGUGUCCUUAUCAUUUAACAAUCAAAGGAAUCUUAUGGUUGAAAGCGAGCCUCCAUCAACAUAUAUUUGGUGAGUUCUCUAUGAAA